rnacentral:rRNA from 1 species
AUUGAACGCUGGCGGCAGGCUUAACACAUGCAAGUCGAGCGGGGGAAGGUAGCUUGCUACUGGACCUAGCGGCGGACGGGUGAGUAAUGCUUAGGAAUCUGCCUAUUAGUGGGGGACAACAUCUCGAAAGGGAUGCUAAUACCGCAUACGUCCUACGGGAGAAAGCAGGGGAUCUUCGGACCUUGCGCUAAUAGAUGAGCCUAAGCCGGAUUAGCUAGUUGGUGGGGUAAAGGCCUACCAAGGCGACGAUCUGUAGCGGGUCUGAGAGGAUGAUCCGCCACACUGGGACUGAGACACGGCCCAGAGUCCUACGGGAGGCAGCAGUGGGGAAUAUUGGACAAUGGGGGGAACCCUGAUCCAGCCAUGCCGCGUGUGUGAAGAAGGCCUUAUGGUUGUAAAGCACUUUAAGCGAGGAGGAGGCUACUCUAGUUAAUACCUAGGGAUAGUGGACGUUACUCGCAGAAUAAGCACCGGCUAACUCUGUGCCAGCCGCCGCCGUAA